ensembl:lncRNA
GAAAUGAUGGAAAAGGAAAUGAUGGAAAAAAAAGUAAUGACCGAUCAGAAUUUAUUUUAACAAAAAAUGUAAUAAACAAUUUGUUUAGUAAUAAAGAUGUAUUGUAUAAUACGAAAGGUUACACUAAUUAUUGGAAUAAUAUCAGUAAAAGUGCUAAAAGUGGUCUUAUUACUAAUAUUUCAUCCAGUAUUGUAAAAACUGAUCACAUCCCUUAUCUUAUAAAUCCUUCUCCUUUUUUUUAUCAUUCCAUUUUAAGCAAUAAUAAAAUUACAAAGAUACAUUACAGUUUUUGUAUGGAGUAUUUUUUUAAUUUUUUAACUAUUCAUAAUUUAUUUUUAAAUAUAUUAAAAGAUGGUAAACAUAACACAAAUGUUAAUAUUCUAGAAUUUUUUUGGGGGGUAGAAAAUGAUACUUCUGUUGGUACUAGCACAAAUGAUACAAAUAUAAUGUUAAUUAUAUCAUACAUUUCAAACUUUUUUAUUUAUUUUUUAUAUGUUUGUACAAAAAUUAAUAGACAUAAUACAAGUAAAACAACUUUAAUUAACAACACAUAUUACGAUGCAUUGUCUAAAUUAAUUAAUAUCACUAUUGAAAAAAAUGAAAACUCAUUAAUCGUUUUAAAUAUAGAAAAUAUUAAUAGUAGUAUUAUGAAAGUUGAUAUUUUUUCAAAUAUUCAACAAAAGUUACUUAUAAAAAAAAAUGACAAAUCGUUACAUACUGAUACAUAUGAGUUUAUAGAAUCUAUAAGAAAUAAAAAAAAAGAAAAAAAAACAAACAAACAAAUAAUAAGUGAUAAUAUUUUUUGUAUUGAUAAUAAUAACACAAGUAACAAAAAUAAUAUAGUCCAUAACAAAAAAUCUCAAUAUAUGGAUUUAAUAUGUAAAGAAUAUAACAGUAACAAUUAUUAUUCAAAAUAUACACGGUAUUAUAAGAAUUGGUCUUGGAGAGGAAAAAAUCGUUUAUAUAUUUAUUAUUACAAUUUACUUUUAGAAAGAUGUCGUAAGAAUUAUAAUAUUUAUAACAGUAAUAAUGUCAGUAACAGUAGUAACCUUUUUUUUAUGAAACAAAUUUUAUAUAAUUUACCAUUUAUUAUUAAAAAAGAUGUAGCUCUUUUUUUUAAAAAAAAAAGAAGUAUAAAAAAUAGGAAAAAUAAAAACACUGACUGUUGUACAAAAAAAAAUAAUAUAUUUAGAAAAGUUAAAAAGGGAAUAACAUUUAAACAAGUAAAAAAAAAAGAAAUUUUAAAAAAUGUUGAAAAUGGUUUGGGGUUUACAUAUUUUGUUGAUUAUACAAAAGAUAAGAAAGAAACAAUAAAAUCUAUGUUUGACAAUUUUAAUAUUAUAAAGGUUUUAUGUAAAAGUGGUAGUAGUGGUAGUAAUAGUAGUAGUGGUAGUAAUAGUAGUAGUGGUAGUAGCAGUUUCAGCAGUAGUGGUAGACGAGGUGACAAAAAUAGGUAUAAUUUAUUAUUUAUACUUUUGUGGAAUAUUAAUCCUAAAAAUAUAUUAAGUGAUUAUUAUUAUUAUUAUUAUUAUUAUUAUUAUUAUUAUUAUUAUGUGUUAACUAACUGUGUUUUAUCUAGAUUAUAUUACAACUACAACUAUUUUAAUUUUAUACAUGAUUAUACUAACAAUUAUUUUUUUAAUGGUUUUAAAAAAAAUGAGAAUUAUAAACAGAUUGAUAAAAAUGAUGAACAAUAUGGUAACAUUAGAAAUAAGGUUCCUUUCGACUUGUCAACUGGAAUUAUUAAUGAUAUUUGUAUGACUAAUUAUAAAAGUAAUAAUAAAAAGAAAAAAAAAACAAUAAUUACUACGGAAUGUUUAUAUAAAUUACUUUUUUUUCAAAUUCGUGAUAAUAAUUGUUGUUGGUAUGAUGAGAAAAACUAUUAUAACGAUAAAACAAAUAUAAAUAAAAAUAAAUUUUUAAAUGUUAAAAAAAGAAAUAAAGAAAAAAAAAAUAUUGGUUUAAAUAAUAAUAAAAUAUGUGGAAAAAAAAAACAUGUAGUAGUAGAUGAAUGUAAAAUGUUAGAUCAAGACAUUUAUACGUCAAUGGAAAAAACAGAUAGAACGGAAAAAGCAAACACAAUGGAAAA